AUGAACGCUGGCGGCGUGCCUAAUACAUGCAAGUCGAGCGAACAGACGAGGAGCUUGCUCCUCUGACGUUAGCGGCGGACGGGUGAGUAACACGUGGAUAACCUACCUAUAAGACUGGGAUAACUUCGGGAAACCGGAGCUAAUACCGGAUAAUAUAUUGAACCGCAUGGUUCAAUAGUGAAAGACGGUUUUGCUGUCACUUAUAGAUGGAUCCGCGCCGCAUUAGCUAGUUGGUAAGGUAACGGCUUACCAAGGCGACGAUGCGUAGCCGACCUGAGAGGGUGAUCGGCCACACUGGAACUGAGACACGGUCCAGACUCCUACGGGAGGCAGCAGUAGGGAAUCUCCCGCAAUGGGCGAAAGCCUGACGGAGCAACGCCGCGUGAGUGAUGAAGGUCUUCGGAUCGUAAAACUCUGUUAUUAGGGAAGAACAAAUGUGUAAGUAACUAUGCACGUCUUGACGGUACCUAAUCAGAAAGCCACGGCUAACUACGUG
rnacentral:rRNA from 1 species